UGUGGAAAACCUGAUGGAGACCAUCUUCAAUAAAGUCCUGCUGGACUCAGGUUGUUCCAUGGAGGGCCUUAUUAACAUCCCUAUCCCACUGGCCCACAAAGUGUAUUUCUAGGCAUAUAUUGCUUGUAAGCCAAACUCCAAAGGAAUCCUCCACAUUGGAUCAACUUAGCGCAUACUGUACCCUCCCGGAAGGUGCAGUGUUUUCCUAACAAUAAGCCGUGGAUUACCCCCAGAUAUGAAGAAUCUGCUGAAGGAGAAGAAGAGAGCCUUCAGUUUAGGGAACAAGGAGGAGCUGAGGAGAAAGAUCAGAGAGGCGACGCUACAGGAGGAAGAUGGAGGAGCAACUACUGUACAACAGCAGAUCAUCAGUGGGGUGUGGCAGAGCCUAAAGACUGUUUCAGCCUUCAAAAAACCCCACACUCAAACAGAGGGGAACUGACAGUGGGCCAACGACCUAAAUAUGCAUUUCUGUAGGUUUGACCAGUCACUCCCUCCUCCGCAGCCGCAUCCUCUCUCCCAAAUACCUGGACAAUGCCCCACUCCCUCAGCCCUUCAAACCUCUAGCACAGUACUUCACCCCAGCACUUCACAGCUCCAUGAAGUGCCUUUAUUACUAUACAGCUGCCUCACUUAAGGGACAAAUUGGAGUCAGCUGGUGCGACAAUUACCUGACAGAGUGUAUACUGGACUACCUGUAAUGGAAAAAUUUUACCUUAGUGCUGUUUUUUAUCCAACACACUCGUCAUGUGCUGGUUAGGUGCAAUACUGAACAUUCUUACACAAACAAAUAAUCUCUUGUGCCCUGACGUACAUCAAGUCUAAACAUCUGAUGCUCCAUUUGACUGACUAAUAAUUUCUGAUAUAUGUUUGUCUUUUACACCCGGACUCUGGCUCCAUCCUAUCUGACUCCCCACCAGACCCAAGGCUGUUAAAGCAAAUGCAUCUUGUCUUGGAAGCUCGGUGUUCCUUCCUUUGGAUAACAAGACAUGACGAUGCAGAAGUGAGAAAGCAAACAUUCUCACUCACAGCGAGAUAAGCUGGCGCAAACAAUUCCAUUGCUGCAGAGAGACAUUCCACCAGAGCCAGAGAAAGGGGUUAAAAGGCAGAAGCAACUUUAGGAUCGUGGGCUCUUUGCAUCACACCUUCGUGGUGUGUGCACUGAUCUCCCCAGCUGGUUUUUUGGUUUGUUGAUGUGCACGAUCAACAUCCAUGCUUUUUAUUUGCUUUCCCCAUUAUUUUUAUUUUCUUUAUUAUUUCAAUAAAUCGCACAAAAGGACAACUCUCUCUCAUCUACUUCUUUAUGGAAAAUUUCCACCACAGAAAUUGGCGUCUACGAGCAGGAUCCCGCAGCAGGUCGUCUGGACGGUGUGACCAGGGACGAUAGUCCUGAGAACUAGGGUCGCUCAGCCUCCAAACCUCUACAGACAUUCAGAGCUGGGAGGACUGCUCACCCGUCUGGAUCGCCUCUGACGAGAUCCACGAACUCGGAUUCAAACUCAAAUCCUAAUUUGACUCGGCCCGGUGAGAGAGAUUCCGUUUUGUUGCGACUUAUCGAAGAAAAAAAAAAGAAAACGGGUUUGAAAUUGGUUUCAGGUAUUCGGGAUUUACUUGGCUCUGAUCAUUUGGUUUAGGGAAAGUAAGGCAAAUAACAAUUAAUUCCAAAACAUCCCCAACUAGACUAAAACAACGACAAAAGAAAAUAUAACUAGGACUAGAGAUGAUAAUAUUUCUAAAACGACUAUGUGGUUGAAAACAUCUAAAAUAUAAUAAUUAGGACCAAACAAUUUUUUUUUAAUUAAAAAACUUAAUAUUCGGGUAAAAAAAAAUUAAUUAGGUCAAAGUGUGCCCUGGUGGUCGAGACGGUGGUUGCUAAGGGUUGGCUCGUGGAACCGAGCUUCCGUCUGUACUGAGGAUACAGACAUGUUUUUCUGAUCUGUGCGUGGUCCACACGUGGGGGACUGAGUAUAAAAGACGGCUUCUGAAAGAGGGAGUGCGUUUGCAGAGUGAAGUAUUUUCAAGAGACGAGGGCCCCGGGCCUAGAGGGGCCUAACGUUGAGGAAGUACUUCGUGAAAGACUCUGUCGCCAGAUCGGGUUGGUUCCCUUUUUACGGAGACGUCCGAUAAAAAGGCAUUUUGGGAAGGUUCCGGCCGGAACACAUAAAAAUCUAAGGCAGAAAACCGCCGGGACUCUGAAAGAUGGGUUCGGGGCGAUCUAAGUCUCCACCACCAGACUGCAGCAUUACAAAACUAAAGAACUGAGCGCGAUGAGGGUAAAUCCGGAUCUGGACUCCUUUCCCACCAUCAGCAGAAGAACCGAAGGAGAAGAAGCGCCGACCAACAACCAGAACAGGGUGGAAGCUCUGACACCACAGCAGCUGGAGGACACAGACCACAGCAUGGACGCCUCACCGACUCACACAACGUCUGCAGCCAUCACGUUCUGGGCUCAUCAGAUGAACCAGCUACUACAGACCCCGCACCAGCAUGAAAGGACUGUGUCUGAAGCUUCAGAGGAAACUGUCUUACAAGCGUGUGUGUCUGACAGACACCUGCUUAUGACAAUCAGCAAAGGAAAACAAGGACAGAGCAACAGCAGAAAAGACGUGCUCUGACACAGACACUGGUUGAAACAACAGGAGAGGCUUCAGACGUGAUCGGCCCAAUAGAGCUGCAUCUGAGGAUCCAGGAAAGGUCUGUCAUCGAGGAACAACUGUCCCAUUGAAAUGCUUCACCCGCUGGCGCUCACAUCAGACUGAUGGUUGGGGAAGGAGGAAGGUGACGGUUCCUUUUCACGUGACGUACAAGACGGUACCGCAAACACACACACACAUUCAUACACGCAAUGAAGAAACACGCUUACAGCUGAUACACGCUCAAAUUCAUGUUCAUGCUUAUCUGCUUGCAAUGAAGAAUCGCUUUUUGCUCAAAAAAAAAAUCCCACAGAGUGAUUUUAAAAAUAUGACAAACAGCUAAAUGACAACUGCUGCAUGACUUUACAGUCUGAUGGGUUUAAACUAUUUUAACUUGCAACAAAUUCAGUAAUAAAAUCCUUCAUGUUUCUAAAAAUACUUGUGCACAAUAUAGGUUUGUCUGGCCAGACUAGAAGACUGUAGAAAACAAAACCAGACCAUAGGAAGACUCAAACUGACUGAAACAGACUAUCAAUGACUAUUAAAGGGAAGACGACUAUUAGAGAGAAGUAAUAAUAAUUACUGUACGUACCAGACUAUUAAAGAAAAACCUAUUCUUUCACUGUCUUGUGCAACAUCUGACAGCAAGACACCGUAACAUUCAUUUUUGCUUUCAAACUUAUGCCCAGUUUAAAUUUUUAGGAAGAGAUCUCAUGUGUAGUUUAGGUAUUUGAUUGAUUUCCACUCCAGACGAAGUGCAGGUUACAUCUACAGACAUUCUAAAUAAUCCCUCUUUUGUUGGUGUUAACUUCAGCUCAGCUGUGCUCCUAUCAUUGGCUGCUGAGGGGGGGCUGUAACUGAGGCCCUCACACAGGCUGCAUCACAGCUUGUUUAUGAUUUCACACACACACAAACUGACCUCAACUUCCCUCUUUUGGGAUGAACACAGGUCUGCGCUUGCGAUUUCUUUUACUAACGAACAAAAAAGAUUUUUGAUGUUUAUUUUACAGUUCCACACGUCCCUCUGUGAAAACAUGAUGGAGACAGAUGCAGGACGUGGGUCCUUUCGUGAACAGAUGUCAACGGGGUAGAGACUGGUGAACGACUUCUGACCCCAUGUGACGUAUUCACCUACUUUGCAUACUUUUAGAAAACUUCUUUUAUUCUGCCGUCAUGUGCAGCAAACAGUAAACUGGGUACCUCCACAUUCUAAUGACACACAUUACACGCUUUUGUUUUUAUUUUCAUUUUUCAGAGGACGCUCUGACCCAACACUCAGCCUUACAGGAAGCCCUGCUUCCAUGUGGCUCACACACAGACAUGAUGUAGGUUCGAUCAGAGGAUGUGAACCAGUGGUCAUCGCACCUAAAUCUGACCACAGACCAUGUAAACAACAACACCCUCUUAAAGGAAGCCAUAGAUGGCGUUACUGCAGACACCACUAAGCUACUGAAACAUUGGAUGCAACAGGCCACAAAGAGAGCCUGUCUAAAUUACACUUUGUUUAGACAAAAUUAUUUUCUGGGUCAUUGUAAUUACAGCUGAUGGCAAAUCCAUCUCACCCAACAGAGUUAAAGCAAUUUGAAACCUGCCUAAACCGUGCACGUAAAAACAGCUGAUGUUUUUUCUAGGUCUUUGUUCUUAUUGUAGGACUUUCGUUCCUAACUUUACCUUCUCUGAGGCCCCACUCAGGGUUCUGAUGCAGACGUCUUCAUCGUCCACUUCUUGUCUCACGUGGACGUCUGAGGCUGAACAACGUUCACCGACCUCAUGCUUGCUCUUCAGUUGGCUCCUACUUUGGGUCUUCCUGAUCUGACCCUACGCGACCUUUCACUCAAACAGUGGAUGAGAAAUCAGGUUGUACGACUUCUGUUCUUUUGUCCUCAUACUUUGAUUCUUUUGGAAAACAUCACAUCUUUCUACAGCCCGAUGGCUUAGAUGCAACACCACCUUACUCAACAUGCUGAACAUUACUAUCAAGAGGUCGUCUUGAAGUCUGGCGCUUUGCUAAGACACUACUCUGCUCAGGCUGCAGAGUUGAUUGCGUUGACUGAAGCUGGUAAACUAGCAGAAGGAGAGACUGUUACCAUCUACAGACUCCACAGAUGCUUGUGACACUUUGGUUCUCCUUGGAAGCAUGGGAAGCUUUUUGAAGUCUAAUUGCAAACCUAUCUCACAUCAUGAUUAGGUUCUGCUUUGCUGGACGCUGUCCUGCUGCCUACAGCUAAUGCUGUUUUUACAUCAUCAGUGACGACUUUGUUUCUGCCGACAUGCAGCUGCAGACGCUGCUGCGAAGGACGACAACCCCUCCCUCUCCUGAUCCUCGUUUCCUCUCCUCAUCCUUGUUCCCUCUCUCCAACUCUCUCUAUCCUUUCCUUCCUUUCUUCCUCUCUCCCUGUGCUUUAAACAUUUUCUACCUCGCAGGAACGCAGACUCUGGCUGACAAAUGGUUCCACCUGUAGCCAUGGAGUCUGGUUUGGGCCUGAUGACACGCCGUACCGCCCAAACACCUUUUCCCCAUAAUUCAGAUUUCCCAACAGGUGAAAGCAGGCGACAGGACCAUUACACCAUCCAACCAGGGCACUGGGUGAUCGUUAAGGAGUUCAGGAGGAAGCACUGGGACUCCAAACGGUGGCGAGGCCACUUCCAGGUCCUUCUGACGACCAACACGGCUGUGAAGAUCGCAGAGAAAGAGCGACUUGGAUCCACUCCAGCCACUGCAGGAAGGUCCCGGAUCCAACAGACGACCCUCCAUCUACAUCUCACGAAGAAAACCACCAAUAAAGAAAAGAACUGAGAAGGACGACCCUCGCUGUGCUCACACACGCACUGAGGCGAGGCUGCGUUGACCGUUCAGCUGAAGGUGUGAGCCAAGCGCCGCCUGAAGCUGCACCGGUGAAUCACACUAUCAGACCAUACAUCUACACACACGUUCCUGAGAAAACACACACACGAGCAGCCUUGAGUUGCCGACGCUGGACGACGUGUAGACUCUUCACAUCACGGGAGUGACAGUGACUCAGACGACAUUGGGAGGAAACCUGGCGGUGAUAACGAAUCCCAAGUGUCUCUGUGAUCAGCUGAUCACUACCUGAAGAACUCCAACGAACAAUCAAUACUUCAACACACAGGUUGGAAACAAUCUAACGCUACUGUUCAACAGGAAGAAGCAGAUUGUUACGAGACAUCAAUUGUAAACAUGCUUUGUUAGACUUCAUUUUAUGUUACUCUGAUUAUUGCCUUUAUCACAUGAUGUUUCUAUGUAACUUUGCACACUACUUUUGAAUGAGAAAAUUUCACAUAAUUCACAACACUGAGUUUAAAUAUCCUAAAGUUGACUUGGUGUUUAAUUUGCUCACAAUCACUUUAUUCACUGCUACAAUUAGUUUUAUCCUUCAUCUACAGAUGAAAGACAACACAAGCGGAAAAACGCAUCAUCAUUCUGGUUAAAUCCCUGAAUCUCCUAUUCGCUCUAGGCCCAAAUGUACAAUUAAAGAUCCGAAAGCAUGAAAUCUAUCUGAAGAUUAUAUGAAACAGAACCCCACCGGAAACCUAUGGCUAUCAUACAUUAAUUGUCUUUAUUACAUUACAAUUGAAUGGCCGUAGACACGUUGUUAGCAGAGAAAAGAGGCGUUUGUGUUAUGUUUGGAGAGGCAUGUUGUACUUACAUCCUGAAUAACACUGAUUCUAAUGGUAUUGUGGCGAAGGCGCUCCACGGCCUUCAGAAUCUCAGCUAACUCUGGUAUAGGGUUUUUUUCCCUUGGAAUUGGCUAGACGAAACGUCUGGAAAAUGGAAAUCUGUUCUCAUGUCCACAGCUGUUUCUUUUAUCAUUGAGAUGGCUGUGAUUCUCUUGUUUGGUUUUUGCGUUAUCCCACUGGUUAAAGGUCUCAUCAUGCGUGCGACCUCAGCAACACUCUCGUAUCAAAUGACACAAUGCACUAUGUUCAAAAACCCCAACUCUAAUUCACUUAAUGACUUUGACGAUGGUCUUAGGCUAUCUGAUCACAAAAUAUAAUCUGAUACAAAUAUGAUUAUGAGCUUAUUUUCUUCACAUGCUCAUACAGAGGUUAUUCUUGUUUAACUACCCACCAAAACAGCUCCCAACCUUUUAUCCCUAAGUUACUUGCAUUUUUAUGUGAAGGUGUAUUUUUGAAUUUUGACUUAAUACACUUACUGUUUCAUUUGUAAGGGUUGUUACUACAAAAUGCAAUGUUUGAAAAAUUUUAUUACUUUAGUGUUUGAUUAAUGUGUAAUCAAAAGGGGGGAAUGUAAUGGAAAAAUUUUACCUUAGUGCUGUUUUUUAUCCAACACACUCGUCAUGUGCUGGUUAGGUGCAAUACUGAACAUUCUUACACAAACAAAUAAUCUCUUGUGCCCUGACGUACAUCAAGUCUAAACAUCUGAUGCUCCAUUUGACUGACUAAUAAUUUCUGAUAUAUGUUUGUCUUUUACACCCGGACUCUGGCUCCAUCCUAUCUGACUCCCCACCAGACCCAAGGCUGUUAAAGCAAAUGCAUCUUGUCUUGGAAGCUCGGUGUUCCUUCCUUUGGAUAACAAGACAUGACGAUGCAGAAGUGAGAAAGCAAACAUUCUCACUCACAGCGAGAUAAGCUGGCGCAAACAAUUCCAUUGCUGCAGAGAGACAUUCCACCAGAGCCAGAGAAAGGGGUUAAAAGGCAGAAGCAACUUUAGGAUCGUGGGCUCUUUGCAUCACACCUUCGUGGUGUGUGCACUGAUCUCCCCAGCUGGUUUUUUGGUUUGUUGAUGUGCACGAUCAACAUCCAUGCUUUUUAUUUGCUUUCCCCAUUAUUUUUAUUUUCUUUAUUAUUUCAAUAAAUCGCACAAAAGGACAA